GUGUUCGCUUCAGCAGCAUAUAUACUAAAAUUGGAAUGAUACAGGGAAGAUUAGAGUUGCCCCGCACAAGGAUGACAAGCAAAUUCGUGAAGCGUUCCAUAUUUUU